rnacentral:rRNA from 1 species
UACGUAGGGCGCAAGCGUUGUCCGGAAUUAUUGGGCGUAAAGAGCUCGUAGGCGGCCUGUUGCGUCCGCUGUGAAAUCCCGGGGCUUAACCCCGGGCUUGCAGUGGAUACGGGCAGGCUGGAGGCAGGCAGGGGAGAACGGAAUUCCCGGUGUAGCGGUGAAAUGCGCAGAUAUCGGGAGGAACACCAAUGGCGAAGGCAGAUCUCUGGGCCGUAACUGACGCUGAGGAGCGAAAGCAUGGGGAGCGAACAGG